rnacentral:rRNA from 1 species
AUACGGAGGGUGCAAGCGUUGUUCGGAAUCACAGGGCGUAAAGGGCGCGCGGGCGGUUUGGUAAGUCAGAUGUGAAAGCCCACGGCUCAACCGUGGAAGUGCAUUUGGAACUGCCAGACUUGAGUACCAGAGGGGAAAGUGGAGUUCCCGGUGUAGAGGUGAAAUUCGUAGAUAUCGGGAGGAAUACCGGUGGCGAAGGCGACUUUCUGGCUGGAUACUGACGCUGAGGCGCGAAAGCGUGGGGAGCAAACAGGAUUAGAUACCCUAGUAGUCC